CUUAAGUGGGGAAUAACGCAUCGAAAGAUGUGCUAAUACCGCAUAUACUCUGAGGAGGAAAGCAGGGGACCGUAAGGCCUUGCGCUUUUGGAGCGGCCGAUGUCUGAUUAGCUAGUUGGUGGGGUAAGGGCCUACCAAGGCGACGAUCAGUAGUUGGUCUGAGAGGACGACCAGCCACACUGGGACUGAGACACGGCCCAGACUCCUACGGGAGGCAGCAGUGGGGAAUUUUGGACAAUGGGCGCAAGCCUGAUCCAGCAAUGCCGCGUGAGUGAAGAAGGCCUUCGGGUUGUAAAGCUCUUUCAGUCGAGAAGAAAAGGCUACGGUAAAUAAUCGUAGUUCAUGACGGUACCGACAGAAGAAGCACCGGCUAACUACGUGCCAGCAGCCGCGGUAAUACGUAGGGUGCGAGCGUUAAUCGGAAUUACUGGGCGUAAAGGGUGCGCAGGCGGCUUUGUAAGUCAGAUGUGAAAUCCCCGGGCUUAACCUGGGAAUUGCGUUUGAAACUACAAAGCUAG
rnacentral:rRNA from 1 species